CUGGAAUGUUUACCUGGCAGUAGGAUAGGCUCCAGUUUCUUAAGUCGAGGUUCCGGAAUGAUCUUGUCUUCAGCCUGAAAAACAGGAGGAGAAGGGCAAAUAUGCAACAACACAUCAAAUCGGCCGAGUCCAGGAGAAGCUCUUCUCGAAGUCACAGAUGAACACAGCAAUGUUUGCAACAGAAUGGACAUAAGAACAGAGAGAAUGAAAAAGAGAGAAAAUUGCAAGCAAAAAAACCCCCUCUGAAUUCCUUCCUGAAUUGGCUGGGGAAUUCUGGGAGUUGAAGUCCACCCAUGUUGAAAUUGUUGAGAGUCCUCAAGUUGGAAGAGGAGAUGGAAACCAUCAGGUUGGCUCCACUGCUCAAUUCAGGAUCCGGUUGAAAGCCUCUCUAGCAAACCAGCUAUCUAGCCUGUGCUGGAGAACCUCCAAUGAAGUGGAUUCUCC